rnacentral:lncRNA from 1 species
GUCAGAGUACAGCUGCACUCACAGCAAAAAAUUGCUGGGAUCAAAUAUAAAACAACUGUUUCACUUUGUCAGAAUUGCAUUGAAUAUUUGCCUGUUACUGCUUUGAUCACUAUAUUUUCUCCUUGUGUGGCUGUGGCAUUUCUUGGAGGGGAUCUAAAAGCCCAAGAGCCAGAUGUUUGGACCUGGGCAGAUGCUACAGGUUGCAAGAUUAGAGGGAACUCAUACAGUGCAGUAUUGCGACUUCUUUCUUCCUUUCUGCACAUCAGAUCAAGUAAACCAAAGAGUGUCUGAACUGCUGCAGAGAAAUGUGAAAAAUAUGCUACAGCCUCACAUUACCUGGAGCCCACAGGCUCCUCUCAUCACUUGAAAGCCAGGAAGAGCAGGGCUGUACCCACCCAUGCUAGGGGCACAGUUUUGCCUUUAGAACUCUGUAGUUAAAAUAUAAAUAUGUUUCCUAGAUUCCUCCUUAUGAUAGCAUGAAGAUACCUGAAACUUUGCAGUAUCUAACUGAUACUGGAGUAUUCUGCUGCUUACACUUGGCAAGCCCGUUCAUUACUAGUUCUUCCAAUUUUCAUGCUUUCACAGAGAUUUGGCCCUCUAAUCAGUUUUGUGUUUCUGCUAGUUUUUCAUUACAGCUAUUAUUUUACUUUUGAAGAAAUCACAUAAACUACUUCAGUGCAAAGAUGUCUCAAUGUAAAUCAGUCUCCCUGUUUUUGAGUUUGCAGUUUUGGCAGUAUUGGUUUUCGAAGAGAUCAGAGACUUUCAAGUCUUUAAUAUACAACUGUUAAUUAGAUUCUUCUGCAAUUAAAUCUAAAUAAAGACUUUUUAAACAUAUUUAUCUCUGUUAUG